UAGCGGCCGGCGGCGGAGGCGAUGGCGACCUCCCCGCCCAUGACCCUGUUCCCCGACUGGAACACCAGCUCCGCGCCCAGCGCCAGUCGCUUCGUCACCGACUGACAACAUACAUGUUGCAAGAAUGAUAGUAGAAAAAGAUAUCUUUUGACCACCUUCGUGGCCUAAUGGUCAUCAUGCCGGACUGCUACACUGGCUGGAGGUCCCGGGUUCGAUCCGGGUUUUCAGAUUGACCUGGAAUGGAGAUGUUUCAUAAAACCGGCGUCAAACGGGAAUAUAGUUUUCUUUUCUCAUCAAAUCAGACCGAUCAUUGACUUGUAGCAAAUGAGUUUAACAUUAAGGGCACUUCCAGUGGUAGCAACCUUUCUUAGUAACUGGAGGUGAGCUCCUGGACAUUAUAUCGCUUCAGUCUCUUUACAUAGCUGUUUAUAUCAUUAACAAAAUAUUUUUUCACCUGUAAA